ensembl:miRNA
GAGGGGGAAGACGGGAGAUGAGAAGAGAGCGGUUAUGCGGCUCCUCACUCCUCCCCUCCCGUCUUGUUCUCUC